rnacentral:rRNA from 1 species
UACGAAGGGGACUAGCGUUGUUCGGAAUCACUGGGCGUAAGGCGCACGUAGGCGGAUUUGUAAGUCAGGGGUGAAAUCCCGGGGCUCAACCUCGGAACUGCCUUUGAUACUGCGAAUCUUGAGCCCGAUAGAGGUGGGUGGAAUUCCUAGUGUAGAGGUGAAAUUCGUAGAUAUUAGGAAGAACACCGGUGGCGAAGGCGGCCCACUGGAUCGGUACUGACGCUGAGGUGCGGAAAGCGUGGGGAGCAAACAGG